CUGGGUCAUAAUGGUCACCCCCACUUUGAGGAAAACCUUUAGAUCUGUUUCCCAGCCCGCAAAUUCGGUACAUUUCACAAGAUGUCGGGGAAGAUGGAACAAGUGAGCGGAUCCACAGCUCUGAACGGCGGCUGUGGGGACUGACUGAGAUGGACGGUACCCCCCUCGUCCCCCCCAGAAGGGACCCGAGCCAACACAUCCCCCACGGCCUUGGACACCAACUCUCCCAGCACCUUUUCCUAGAAAGAGGUUUUAUUGCCUUUGGUCCACAGUUGGUAUUUCACAUUAUCUCUUGGUCCCAGGGCUCCUGGGUGGGGGCUGGUCCCCGGGAGGGCCUCGGGGUGGGGGUCCCUGUGCAGUACUUGGCGGCGGGGGGCGGGGUGGGGGAGCGGGGACAAGUUUCGGGGGGGCGGAGUGGGCCUGGCUUUGCCUCAACCACUCAGAACUCCACUGUCCCGUCUGGGCCUCAGGAAAUCCAGUCCAUCCCAACACACAAAACAUCUCGGGACUGUGGCCUGGCCGUCUCCCAGGGGACCUACUUCCUCCCCAGCACCCCCUG